UGAGUAACGCGUAUGCAACCUGCCUUUUACAGAGGGAUAGCUUUCGGAAACGGAAAUUAAUACCUCAUAACAUUGCGAGAUGGCAUCAUCAUGCAAUUAAAACUCAGGUGGUAAAAGAUGGGCAUGCGUAACAUUAGCUAGUUGGUAAGGUAACGGCUUACCAAGGCAACGAUGUUUAGGGGACCUGAGAGGGUGAUCCCCCACACUGGUACUGAGACACGGACCAGACUCCUACGGGAGGCAGCAGUGAGGAAUAUUGGUCAAUGGGCGCAAGCCUGAACCAGCCAUCCCGCGUGCAGGAAGACGGCCCUAUGGGUUGUAAACUGCUUUUCUGACGGAAGAAUUAUCGCUACGUGUAGUGAUUUGACGGUACUUCAGGAAUAAGCAUCGGCUAACUCCGUGCCAGCAGCCGCGGUAAUACGGAGGAUGCAAGCGUUAUCCGGAUUCAUUGGGUUUAAAGGGUGCGUAGGCGGAUUAAUAAGUCAGUGGUGAAAUCUUCCGGCUCAACCGGGAAACUG
rnacentral:rRNA from 1 species